rnacentral:ncRNA from 1 species
GGCCGAAAACCUAAGGUUUCCUCAGGAAGGCUCGUCCGCUGAGGGUUAGUCGGGACCUAAGCCGAGGCCGAAAGGCGUAGGUGAUGGACAAUAGGUUGAUAUUCCUAUACCACUACCAUCGUUAUUACCGAUGGCGUGACGCAGGAGGAUAGUGUGUGCUAGCUAUUGGAUGCUAGUCUAAGCACUUAGGGAGUUAAGACAGGAAAAUCCGUUUUAACAAUUCUGAGGUGUGAUGGGGAAGUCCAUUUAUGGAUGAAGUACAUGAUUCCACGCUGCCAAGAAAAGCGUCUAGGGAGAAAAGUAGUGCCCGUACCGCAAACCGACACAGGUAGGUGAGGAGAGAAUCCUAAGGCCGGCGGAAGAAUUGCAGUUAAGGAACUCGGCAAAUUGACCCCGUAACUUCGGGAGAAGGGGUGCCUACGAGAGUAGGUCGCAGAGAAUAGGCCCAAGCAACUGUUUAGCAAAAACACAGGUCUCUGCUAAAGCGAAAGCUGAUGUAUAGGGGCUGACGCCUGCCCGGUGCUGGAAGGUUAAGGGGAACACUUAGCGCAAGCGAAGGUGUGAACUUAAGCCCCAGUAAACGGCGGCCGUAACUAUAACGGUCCUAAGGUAGCGAAAUUCCUUGUCGGGUAAGUUCCGACCCGCACGAAUGGCGUAAUGAUUUGGGCACUGUCUCAACUGCAAAUCCGGCGAAGUUGUAGUGCAAGUGAAGAUGCUUGCUACCCGCGAUUGGACGGAAAGACCCCGUAGAGCUUUACUGUAGUUUAGCAUUGAGUUUCGGUAUUGUCUGUACAGGAUAGGUGGGAGACUGGGAAACUAGGGCGUCAGCUUUAGUGGAGUCAACCUUGGGAUACCACCCUGAUAGUACUGGAAUUCUAACUGGGCACCAUGAAUCUGGUGACAGGACAUUGUUAGAUGGGCAGUUUGACUGGGGCGGUCGCCUCCGAAAAAGUAACGGAGGCGCUCAAAGGUUCCCUCAGAAGGGUCGGAAAUCCUUCGAAGAGUGCAAAGGCAGAAGGGAGCCUGACUGCGACACCUACAAGUGGAGCAGGGACGAAAGUCGGACUUAGUGAUCCGGUGGUACCUCGUGGGAGGGCCAUCGCUCAACGGAUAAAAGCUACCUCGGGGAUAACAGGCUGAUCUCCCCCAAGAGUCCACAUCGACGGGGAGGUUUGGCACCUCGAUGUCGGCUCGUCGCAUCCUGGGGCUGAAGUAGGUCCCAAGGGUUGGGCUGUUCGCCCAUUAAAGCGGCACGCGAGCUGGGUUCAGAACGUCGUGAGACAGUUCGGUCCCUAUCCGUCGCGGGCGUAGGAAAUUUGAGAGGAGCUGUCCUUAGUACGAGAGGACCGGGAUGGACUGACCUCUGGUGUACCAGUUGUUCCGCCAGGAGCAUAGCUGGGUAGCUAAGUCGGGAAGGGAUAAACGCUGAAGGCAUCUAAGCGUGAAGCCCACCUCAAGAUAAGAUUUCCCAUAGAGUAAUCUAGUAAGAUCCCUUGAAGAACACAAGGUUGAUAGGUGAGAGGUGUAAGUGUGGUAACAUAUUUAGCUGACUCAUACUAAUAGAUC